AUUGAACGCUGGCGGCAGGCCUAACACAUGCAAGUCGAACGAGUGGCGGACGGGUGAGUAAUGUCUGGGAAACUGCCUGAUGGAGGGGGAUCACUACUGGAAACGGUAGCUAAUACCGCAUACCAUCAGAUGUGCCCAGAUGGGUGUAGCUUGUUGGUGGGGUAACGGCUCACCAAGGCGACUAUCCGUAGCUGGUCUGAGAGGAUGACCAGCCAUGCUGGAACUGAGACACGGUCCAGCGUCCUACGGGAGGCAGCAGUGGGGAAUGUUGGACAAUGGGCGCAAGCCUGAUGCAGCCAUGCCGCGUGUAUGAAGAAGGUCUUCGGUUUGUAAAGUACUUUAAGCUGGGAGGCGUUACCCGCAGAAUAAGCACCGGCUAACUCCGUGCCAGCAGCCGCGGUAAUUC
rnacentral:rRNA from 1 species